GUUUUUUCUACUUUCAACCAUUCUACUCGAUCACACCCUGAUAUUAAUAGUGAGACUGUGUGAUAGAAUAAAUUGGUCCAUUUCUGCAUUUUCACUCUCUGUCAUCCUGUUGUACUCGAUCACAGGGUCCAUUCUGGCAGUCGACCCUGCUAUCGAGUAUAUCAGUCAUUUCUGUUAUUUUUUUUACUGUUUUCUGCAUCAACACUAGGACUGUUAGACAAACAACCUAAUACUGCUUGGCUUGACUUAGCAACUUCUGAUCAUAUCUCAUCUGUUUGCAUCACACCCAUUUGGAUUGACACCUAAAAUACUACAACGACAGGAUAGUGUUUUGGGAUUAAUUGAUCUUAAAAACUUACUAUCAAUUUGGCGCCGUUGCCAAUUGGGUGCUUGUUUGCUAUAUUUGAGAUUUCAGAAUUGUUAAGAUCAAGUUCAUUUUUGUUAUAAGAGAUACUAACAUUGUUUCUUUUCAGACUUUGUAUUUCAGGUACUUAGCAACCAACUU
rnacentral:sRNA from 1 species